UACGUAGGGUGCGAGCGUUAAUCGGAAUUACUGGGCGUAAAGGGCGCGUAGGCGGUUCGUUAAGUCCUGUGUGAAAUCCCCCGGCUCAACUGGGGAACUGCACAGGAAACUAGCGGGCUUGAGUUCGGGAGAGGGAAGCGGAAUUCCAGGUGUAGCGGUGAAAUGCGUAGAUAUCUGGAGGAACACCGGUGGCGAAGGCGGCAUCCUGGACCGAUACUGACGCUGAGGAGCGAAAGCCAGGGGAGCAAACGGG
rnacentral:rRNA from 1 species